UAUUGACAACAUCCAUCAUGCUCUCUCUAUAAUGUUUCAAAAUUUGCAACCACAAUUCUGUUCUUACAUCACGAUAUGUUGUCAUAUUGGUGUCCAUGGUAUCGAGAAUAAAUUGCUACAGCUAUGUAUCCCCUCGAAGCAUAUGCCUAUAGUAAUAACCGCAACCACUUUUUACAUUUGUGUGUACUAUGCAGGAAGACAAUAGCUGGCCUCUUUUUCUAAUCGGUUUCCUUCACGCUUAAUACCAAGCAGGCAACUGCCCUUGCUCUCCUUCCUCGCAGGCCCAUUGUAGUGCAUAGUUUAUCAAUGUUGACAAUUUUAUCCCCUGAUUCAAAGUCCACAAGUGAAUCUCUCUUGCAUAUAACUGCUGCUUUGACAUGUUCUGAGAUGUAGAUGGUGCUACACGCAUUCUUUUCGAUGGAAUCAACUACAGCCAAUUCAUGGUCAUCUAUGUUUUCGACCUCCAGAGUUCUUACUCUGUCAGAAUUUGACUUAGAUUCAUCCAUGGAGACUAAUGAUCCAUCUGAGUGAGAUGGAGAAAUGUCCAUGUUGCAAGUUGCAGGAACAUGAAUGACAGUGAUCUUAGACGCACAACUGCAUCACUUCUUUGAAUAGAAACAGGUUUUUCUGCUUUGCAUCACUUCUUUGAAUAGAAACAGGUUUUUCUGCUUGGCAGUAGGAACAUUACUGUUGCAAGUAGAAAUGUUCUUCUUAAUGCUUACAAUCUUGGAUGUACAUGGUUGCCUGAUGAUAAAAGAUCAGUUCUGGCAGCUCUUCCAAUUGGACAUAAUGCUUCGUUGGGCUUUCUGGCUGAUAUGUCAAUGAGGCAAGUGGUUAGCACGUGCUCCUUAAGGCCAUAAAAGUGAGUUGCGUGGAAGCAAAAUUGUCCUGAGGCUUCCUGCAGAAGGUAUCAACAAACUUCCGUAACUUGGACCGCUUCUUCUCUUCUGUAUCCACUGAAAAGGCUAACCAUUACGCUAAAUUUUCAUUCUUCCCCAACAACACUGCUAUUAAACAAAAUCAGAAAUUCAAUAAAAAAAACAGUGAAUGUGUACAUGAGGAAAGGGUGCUAGGAAUGUAAACAGUAUAUAAGAUCACAAUAAUGUAUUUUCCAGUUGUUAGAAAUUUAUACUUAUAUCCAGAACUUGAAUCAGGUAAGCUGAUGAUGAGCCAUUCCUCUCAACAAACCAUAGUUGUGGUUCAAACAUUAAAUUUAAAGGUGCUCUGUCAAAUACCAAAAUAGAAGCAGGUGUAACAAGAAACAACAAACACAGACUAUGACAAACCAAAGGAAUAUUUUGUCUUGAGAUGAUUAGCUUGAAACCUGCAACAGCAUCAAGGAGAGAAAAUUGAACAUCACCUGCCUAUGAUAAGCAUGAACAUUUGGUGAAUUAUCAACGUUCAGUCAAUCAGGUUAUUGCAUUUCAAAAAAGGAAAUAGAUGAAAUACCAGAUUACCCCCAUCAGAUGCACAUGCUCGGGUGGUUAACACCCUCCACCUCCAACUCUUAAUUUGUAGUUGAGAUUUUCAUCCUAAAUUAUUGAAAUCGGAAAGCCCCUCCCAUUUUCAACAAUUAAGAAAUCUUACAAUUGAAGGCAAAGGUUCAUAGUAAAAGUGCAAACUAAUACACAGAACAGAAACGAAUCCAGAAGGAAACAUCAAUAAAGAUAGAAAAAUCACAGAAUUGAUUCGACCAACUAAGAUUUUCAGAAUUCAACAAGGUGUUAAAGAGUGACUUGAUUCUAUUUCUGUUGGUCUGGUUUAUAUUGAAGAUUAAAUACUAUCCCUUGCAGUUGAACUAAAGGAUAAAAUCCGCCAGCUGCAGUCCAUCCUAUCGUAAACCCAGAAAUCUCAGUGAAGAAACCAGAAACCCCCACCUCCAUCCCUCCGAAUUUCCAUCAAGAAAUCAUACAUGUAGAACCAGAAAUCAGAUGAAAACAUCUUAAAUUGUUGAAAUCGGAAACCCCCAACCUCCACCCGUCCCAAUUUACAAGUAAAACCAGAAAUCAUAGUGAAG
rnacentral:misc_RNA from 1 species